AUACGGAGGGUGCAAGCGUUAUCCGGAUUUAUUGGGUUUAAAGGGUGCGUAGGCUGUGCGUUAAGUCAGGGGUGAAAUGCCGUCGCUCAACGACGGAGCUGCCCUUGAUACUGGCGUGCUGGAGUACGGAUGCCGUUGGAGGAAUGAGUGGUGUAGCGGUGAAAUGCUUAGAUAUCACUCAGAACACCGAUUGCGAAGGCAUCUGACGAAUCCGUCACUGACGCUGAGGCACGAAAGCGUGGGGAUAGAACAGGAUUAGAUACCCUGGUAUUCCACGCCGUAAACGAUGAUGACUAACCGUCGGCGAUAGACAGCCGGUGGCCAAGCGAAAGCGAUAAGUCAUCCACCUGGGGAGUACGUCGGCAACGAUGAAACUCAAAGGAAUUGACGGGG
rnacentral:rRNA from 1 species